rnacentral:rRNA from 1 species
AUUGAACGCUGGCGGCAUGCCUUACACAUGCAAGUCGAACGGCAGCACGGGAGCAAUCCUGGUGGCGAGUGGCGAACGGGUGAGUAAUAUAUCGGAACGUGCCCAGUCGUGGGGGAUAACGUAGCGAAAGCUACGCUAAUACCGCAUACGAUCUAUGGAUGAAAGCGGGGGAUCGCAAGACCUCGCGCGAUUGGAGCGGCCGAUAUCAGAUUAGGUAGUUGGUGAGGUAAAGGCUCACCAAGCCGACGAUCUGUAGCUGGUCUGAGAGGACGACCAGCCACACUGGGACUGAGACACGGCCCAGACUCCUACGGGAGGCAGCAGUGGGGAAUUUUGGACAAUGGGCGCAAGCCUGAUCCAGCAAUGCCGCGUGCAGGAUGAAGGCCUUCGGUUGUAACUAGCUUUG